rnacentral:rRNA from 1 species
UUGGGUUAAGUCCCGCAACGAGCGCAACCCACGUUUUUAGUUGCCAGCAUUGAGUUGGGCACUCUAGAGAGACUGCCGGUGACAAACCGGAGGAAGGUGUGGAUGACGUCAUCAGCAUGCCCCUUACGUUCUGGGCUACACACGUACUACAAUGCUUCGGACAAAGGGCAGCGAGCGCGCGAGUGCAAGCCAAUCCCAUAAACCGAGGCUCAGUUCAGAUUGCAGGCUGCAACUCGCCUGCAUGAAGGCGGAAUCGCUAGUAAUCGCAGGUCAGCAUACUGCGGUGAAUACGUUCCCGGGCCUUGUACACACCGCCCGUCACACCAUGGGAGUUGGCCACGCCCGAAGUCGUUACUCCAACCGUUCGCGGGGGAGGAUGCCGAAGGUAGGGCUGAUGACUGGGGUGAAGUCGUAACAAGGUAACCA